UACGGGGGGGGCAAGCGUUGUUCGGAAUUACUGGCGUAAAGGGCUCGUAGGCGGCCAACUAAGUCGGAUGUGAAAUCCCCAGGCUCAACCUGGGAACUGCAUCCGAUACUGGAUGGCUUGAAUUCGGGAGAGGGAUGCAGAAUUCCAGGUGUAGCGGUGAAAUGCGUAGAUAUCUGGAGGAAUACCGGUGGCGAAGGCGGCAUCCUGGACCGACAUUGACGCUGAGGAGCGAAAGCCAGGGGAGCAAACGGG
rnacentral:rRNA from 1 species